ensembl:ncRNA lncRNA:CR46478 long non-coding RNA:CR46478
UAGUUUGAUUGAGUAACUGUCACCCUCAGAACGAACAGAUUCCAUAAUGAACGAUAGACGAGUUCUAAAACUCGUCUAAAGAAAACUCUCUAAAGAAUUAUAAAAAUAUAUAUAGUGAAAUGCUUGUGUUUAUUGAGUGGAACUAAUGUCCCGUCAGUUGACUAAGGAUAACGUCUUUAUUCUUUUGAUCACAGUUUAAGACUAAAUGUUAGUGACAAAUAUCUUUCUUACACUGCCCUUUUGUUUACAUUAUUUUGACAUAGACAGUAUUAUCGAUAGCAAUUAGCGGAUGUGAUGUACACUGGCGUGGGAUUAUGUGAAUAGGACACUCAUUGCCCAGUUGUUUAUAUUAUUUCGAGAGCGAGACCGCCGGCUUGGUAUAUUGAUAUUAAGAAUAUUCUUAUUUCUUUGGACAGUGCUAAUUAUGUGUAUCCCUUCUCCUCUCUUAAAAAUUAUAAUGCUUGGGCUGGUAUUACAGGGUAGGCAACUAGUUUUGUGCCGGUUCUAUUUCUUGUAGUGGUUCUUGAUUACUUUGUCUUGUUUUCCAAAUUUAGACUGGGGAUGUAUAAGAAGGUUAGUCGAUUCAUUAAUUUUCGCCUAAAAUAGCAUUUCCAAUCUUUAUUUUACAUUGUUUAUUUUGAGAGAUUGUAUGUAAGUAUAAUAUUUGGUUCAACGUACUAGAUAAUUUCCUUUGAGGGAGUCGGCAUAUAAUUUCAAAUUGGAUUCUUCCGCUUAAUUAUAUUUUUAAUGCAUUCAUUGUUAACUUCUUUUUUGUUAUGAUAAAUUGUAUUCUCAUCUUCAAAAAAUAUGUUUUUUUUAUCUAAAUAGUUUAACUGAUACCCAUAUGGUCAGGAUAGGGAAUUAUUUUAAUGGUGUUGAUGGUUUCCUGGUUACCAGGGCUAUGUGAAAUGAGUAAGAAGAACUCGUUAUUUUUGUGGUCAAUUCAAGUUGAUGUUCUGAUAAAACGUGAACCUAUUUUGUCAAAUUAAUUUAAUUUAAUCAUUUAAUUCUUUUAGAAGCUUCUUGUAUAAGGUUUUCAUUGUGGGCGAGUCUGUGAUUUUGUUACCAAAAGAUCGAGAUUUUGAUCACAAUGAUUUCCGUUAAAUUAAUUAUUAGACAGUGAUGAUAUUUGAAUUGGAUUGCUUAAGAAGAGUAAGUAGCCUAGGUCGGAAUCUUUGUUGAUUAUUUGAAUAUUUUGACUGUGGUCCGUGGUGAAUGUUAGACACAACAUAAUUAUACACAAGGUUCCUGUGGAAGUUUAACGGUAUUAGGUUUCUUUUGUUUCUUAAAUUGUGUUUUGUAGUAUUCGGUUUCCCUAUUUCGUAUUUUGUAAUGGUCUUGAUCUAUUUAUCUACAUUUUUAAAUGGGUUUGGUUUAAUUUUUUUUAUUUUCCUCUUUGAAGUGGAUCUUUCCUGUAUUUAGUGUCAAUAUUUAUUUUAUGGUUGUAUGAGUAAAGGAUUGUUUCUAAUUUGCUUAACAGAUGAAUUGAUUAUACGGAUUUUAUCAUUUAUUAUAUUAUUUAGUCUUUAGACGUCUGCUACACCGUUUCCUGCCGUAUUAAGUUGCAAUUCGAUUCCUUCUUCUUAAAGCCGUCGCUUUAGAGUCAAAAUGGAAAAAGCUCCGUCUCUGUCUGCCUUUAGUAUUUUGGGUUUACCUGAUUGAUUGGAAAUGCACAUUAUUGCGUUUCUGCAUUCUAUCCAGUCCUUUGUUUUAAUUUCACAUAUCUCUUCUCUUCAAGUGUAGCGAAUUUAAAAUAAAUGACAAUUCAACUGAUGUUGAUUGCCUCAGCAAUUAGGAGUGAUUUUAAAGGCAAUUUGGUGUUUCUGUGUUCUGUGUUCUGUGUUCUUUAAUUAAUUUUGUAAUGUUCUGUAUAACUGAAUGAAUGAAUGAAUAAGGUUGUCUUCUUUUGCGCUAUGUUGAGUAACUUCCCUAUGAUGGUUUUCUUCAAGUUUAAUUCUAGAUAAUGCAUCGCCAACUGAAUUCUCCAUCCCUUCAAUAUAAUCGAUUUUUGUUGAUGAUAAUGAUAACCUGAUGAUAGCAAUGAUAAACUGUCGUCCUAGUAAAUAAUGUCGAAAAGUUGUUGUUGCCCAAGCUAUGGCGAGUAAUUAUUUUUCGAUAGCGCUGUAAUUUAAUUUGUGUUUAUUAAGUGUUCUGAUAAGAAAGAAUAUAGGAUGACCAUUUUGAGAAAGUACUGCCAAAUGGGCUAAAUUACUGGCAUCUGUGGUUAAAGUAGACUUUUUUGAAAACGGAUUAAAGCUAUAAGUUUUUUGAAUGCCUCUGUGUAGCCAAGGUUUUGUGCACCUACAUAUCUGUGCGCUUUUUUUUUAAACCUUUGGUUAUUUGUCUUGCUAUGUCUGGGGGAUACAUUUGCUGUAAUCGGUUAAUCCAAGAGAAGCUCUGAUCUCUUUUACCUUUUUUUGGAAUUGGAUAUGAAUCUAUGGCUUUUAUUUUAAGAGGUUUUGAUUUUAUACCAUUAGGGGUUACGAUGUGACCAAGAAAACUAGCUUCCUUUUUCAAAAAUUUACAUUUAUCUGGCUGCAAUUUUAAAUUUGCUUUUGGGAGUUUUAAAAAGCCUAUCUGUAAUGAAUUUAAAAUGUUCAAUAAGGGAUGUGGAGAAAAAACUAAACAGUGUUUAUUAUCUAUUUAUAUGUGUAUAUAUGUUUAUUAGAAUAUUAUUCAUGCCAAAUGGCAUUCGAAUGUACUCAUAAUGUCCGCUUUUGGUGGAGAAUGCAGAUUUACAUAUUGAUUCUGGGUCAAUGGUUUUUAAAUAUUAAAUAUUGACCUUUUCCUAAUUUACCAAGGAUUUCGUCCAUGUAUUAUAUUGGUUAUCUGUCCGGGAUAGUUAUUUCAUUAAAUUUUUAUAAUCAAUUACUACUCUGUACACAAGUUUCCUAGACGCAUCAGUUUCGAACUACCGAGCUGGGACUGUUGUAUGGCGAAUUACUUUCCCUGAAUUAUACCUAAUUGAGCAUUUCGUGUACUUGGUUUUCGACUUCAAUUUCAUGCGUUUGAGCAAGUGGGUAAUGUCUGGAAUAAAUUUUGUUAUGUGUUAUGUGUUGUAUUUAGUGUGUGUUUAAUGGUAUUUAUAAAUGUUUGUUUAUCCAUCUCUUUAUAUUAAAGAUUUUUUAAUUUAUUUAAUAAACCUGAGUUUUUAUUUGGUUCUGGUUUCUUUUGAAUUUAAAAAUUUUUAUAUCUUCUCGGCUCUGAAGUAAUCAACUUGUAUGUUUUGUCAAAAAGGUUAACUGUGCUAUUAUUGUGCUAUAUUGUUAAUUUAUAAAUGCUUGUGCAUUUAUUGCCAAUUAACAUAUCGUAAUAAUUAUUAUUAGUUAUUAGAAAAACUGUGUAGAUCAAAUGGUUGAUUUUUGUUUAAAAAUACUAUUGCUGGGUAAGACAAUCAAGCUUUUCAACGUAAUAGUGUCAUUUGAUGUUAAAACUUCGGAUAUUGUAUUUUGAAUAAUAUUAUUAUUAUUAAGUGGGUUUCUAUGUGUACUGCGACCCAGUCGGCUCUAUUGUACUACCCCUUCAAAGAUCCCCCUGACGUCUAAUGCACUGUAUAAAUGCCAGAAUUUUAUUGGGAUUCAGGGCUGCAAUUAUUUUCCGUGGGACUACAUACAUGCCCAGGAGUCUGUUCGUCCCGAUGGAAAGCGCCAC